rnacentral:rRNA from 1 species
CUCGUAGGCGGUUUGUCGCGUCGACUGUGAAAACCUGGGGCUUAACUCUGGGCCUGCAGUCGAUACGGGCAGACUUGAGUUCGGUAGGGGAGACUGGAAUUCCUGGUGUAGCGGUGAAAUGCGCAGAUAUCAGGAGGAACACCGGUGGCGAAGGCGGGUCUCUGGGCCGAUACUGACGCUGAGGAGCGAAAGCGUGGGAGCGAACA